rnacentral:rRNA from 1 species
UACGUAGGGUGCGAGCGUUAAUCGGAAUUACUGGGCGUAAAGCGUGCGCAGGCGGUUUUGUAAGUCCGAUGUGAAAUCCCCGGGCUUAACCUGGGAAUGGCAUUUGGGACUGCAAGGCUGGAGUGUGGCAGAGGAGACUGGAAUUCCUGGUGUAGCAGUGAAAUGCGUAGAUAUCAGGAGGAAUACCGAUGGCGAAGGCAGGUCUCUGGGCUGACACUGACGCUCAUGCACGAAAGCGUGGGGAGCAAACAGG